rnacentral:lncRNA from 1 species
UGGCUCUUUUCAACAGUGCUGCAAGAGGAUGGUUAUUUAACGCUGGCCCCCAAGGAGGAAGGCACAGACCUUCCUCCUCCUGGAACAUCCAAGGGCACUGGAUCCUCUGUGUCCCUCUGAGAUGGGGUGCCACUCCAGCAAGAGCACCACGGUGGCAGCUGAGUCCCAGAAGCUUGAAGAAGAGCGCGAGGGAAGAGAGCCAGGUCUGGAGACCGGCACCCAGGCAGCAGACUGCAAGGAUGCCCCGCUGAAGGAUGGAACCCCUGAGCCAAAGAGCUGAAAUGCCUCUCUCCAGAGUCGGACCCUCACCUCCUUCCUGGAACUGCCUUUGGCCCCAGAACCAUGAGACAAUCCCCACCCUGAGAAGCUCCGAUCACUGGGAGGAGAGAGAAAGCCUCCAGCUUUGGGAUUCAGGCUUCAGAAGUUUUUAGCAGCCUUUGCUCAUUGGAGAGGUGGGGAGGAUAAGUCUAUAAGGAAUCCUAUUUCCCCAGCUCUCCCACAGAGAGGACAAAAGAAGUCUUCACACGUUGUGGAACUUUCCUGCAACUUCUGGAUGCAGACAAGCCUCAGAGCAGACUGUUCUGGCUCCAGUGAAUAUCGGCUGCCAAGCUGUGAGCAUCCAGGGAUCCCCGUCUGCCUGGCUUUCCUGAAGUCAGAAGGCGCCUUGGUCAUACUGUGUGGGGUGUGUGGAUCUCAGUUUGCUCUCUUUCUUUCUCCUUUUUUCAACAGCUGGCGGAGUAGCCAACACCCCUGACAGCAAUGUGUUGCACUUGGCUCACUCCACACCCUAUGAAUAAUUUUAAUAUUUAACUUGAAAUGUUGUUAAGAAACUAUGGAAAAUAUCAGGAUCCCACUGGGAUCCCGUAAAUUGAAGGCAACAAGGUCUUGGUCCUCCAGUAAGGGGGGCAUGGAGCCCUGGUGGGAAGGAAAGAAGAGAAAUUUGUGUUCCUGAUUCCUUAAUCCCCAAGAAAGGUCCCUCUGCUAACAUUCACAUAUCUCUUCCUAGCCAAAGUCUGUCCAUUUCAACCCUCUAGCAUCUGAGCUAUCUGCAUCCAGCUUUCAAAAAUAUUUCGCUGUUUACUAACAUGUCUGUCAGCCUCUCUUUUCUCCCCCGCAUGUGUUUUGUUUUUAAAUCCACUCAAAAGCGUUUUCAUUUGAAAUCAAAUAGACAUGUUUGCAAAUAAAUGUUGACACAACACAUUUGAAAGACAGAAUUGGGGAUCUGAGAUUAAGAGUAUCAGCAGAGAAGAGUGGGUGUAAUUCUGUGGAACAGGAGUGAGAACAGAGGCGAGGGAGCCGUUGCUUUGUGCCAGGCGCCAUGCUGAGGACUUUCCAUAGACGGUUUAAUGCCACCCAACUACUCCCAUUUUAUAGAUGAGGAAAUGGAGGAAAUAAAGUCACUUGCCUGAGUUUGGGCAGCCAGGAAGGAGCAGAACCCACAGUUGAGCCCCAGCAGUUUGGCUUGGGAAACGCAUGUAGAGUGCUUCUUAAAGCAGAGAGCCUUUCUCAUGAUUAAACUGAAAUACUAGUCCCUUUAUAGCCUGUGCAUAGUGAGGACCAUUUUUCUUUAUUCACUGAGACCUACCUGCCUAUUGAGAAGUAUGUAACCGGUCAGCUUGGAGUUGCCCCACUGCAGUGGAAAUUUACCUUGCAAAACAGGACUGUGCAUGGUGAGAGCUGCUUGCAAUGUCCACACUCAGGACUCUAUGGAAAGAGUUCGCAGCUGGUGGUGAGGCUUUGAGGUGGGGCUGCCCUUAUUUCACUAGCUCCUGAGGGGCAGAGCUCACUCAGCUUUUUACCAAAUCAAAGGAAGGAAGCUUUAGGUCCUUCGAAGUUCAGAACCAGGGUGGUUUGUUUUGCUUCCUUUUGGAAUGGAAUAAAAUGCUCAUUUAAUUAAAUUCAAGUUCUCUGAGGGCUUUUAAAAACAGAAUUCUUCAUCUACCUCCAGCUGUGGCAGGCAUGCUGCAAUUUACUAGGAAGUUAAUCUCUAACAGAAAAAAGUACUCAGUUUCCUUUUAAGGACAUUCCCGUUAUCCACUGGAGCCUAGCAUCACUCGUCUGUCUCCCUUUGAGGUUCGAGAAUUUCUAAAGUGCCUGGUAAAAGUGGUUAGGAUUAUGUCUACUGAAAUAUAACUUUAACCUCUGGAAAAACAGGCCUGCAAAGGCCAACUUCCCAAACUGCUGGAAGAGGAGAGGUUUAUUAGUUAACGUAUCUAUCCAUCCAUCAUCCAUCCAUGCCUCCUUCCUUCCUUUCAUCCAGCCAUCUAUCCAUCCAUCUUUCCAUCCAUUAUCCAUCAUCCAUGCAUCCAUCCACCCACCCAUCUGUUCUUCAGUCCUUCCAUCUUUCUUUCCAUCUGUCCAUCCAUCCUUUCAUCCAUUAUCCAUCCAUCCAUCCACCCAUCUGUUCAUCAGUCCUUCCAUCUUUCUUUCCAUCUGUCCAUCCAUCCUUUCAUCCAUUAUCCCUCCAUCCAUCCACCUAUCUGUUCAUCAGUUCUUCCAUCUUUCCAUCCAUCCAUUCAUCUUUCCAUCCAUUCAUCUAUCCAUUUAUUCAUACAUUCAGCUCUUACCCUGGAUUUUUUAGUUACAUGAGGCAAUACAUUUUUUGCUUUUAACCAAUUGAUUCAUUCAACAAAUAUUUGUUGAGUUUCUACUCUAUCACUCAUCAUUCAUUCAUUCCUGUAUUCAUUUAUUAAUUCAGUGUUUACUGGGCAACUACUCUAUGCCAAACUCCUUAGUGUUCAUAAAAUGUUCAUAAAGUGCCAUCUUUGUGGGAGUACCGCCUGGAACAGGGUGGUCCAGGGAGAUCUUUCCAGUCUCGAUGAGACCCAAGAGCUUUCAAGAGUAAGUUGGAAUUAGACAAAGAGGAUGGUUAUUUUGGAAGCGAAUGUAUGACCUGGAGUUGGAUACAAGAACUGCAUGGGGCACAAUGUACAGUGUAAUAGGAGCCUAAGGUGCCCACGGCACAGGGACAGGGAGGUAAACCUUGACAAGUAAAAAAUCAAAUCAGGGGCUGGGCACAGUGGCUUACACCUGUAAUCCCAGCACUUUGGGAGGCCACGGUGGGUGGAUCAUGAGGUCAGGAGAUCAAGACCAUCCUGGCCAACAUGGUGAAACCCCGUCUCUACUAAAAAUACAAAAAAAAAAAUUACCUGGGUGUGGUGGUGCGUGCCUGUAAUCCCAGCUACUUUGGAGGCUGACGCACGAGAAUCGCUUGAAUCUGGGAGGCGGAGGUUGCAGUGAGCCUAGAUUGCACCAUGACCAUGCACUCUAUCCUGGCGACAGAGUGAGACUCCGUACCAAAAAAAAAGGGAUCAAAUCAUGAAGUGCCUUGUAUUUUAUACUGAGAGCUUGAGAGUUUAUCUUGAUGGGCGCAGUGGGGUGUCUUUCGGCAGAAGAAUGAUGCUAGGACGUCAGUGGCUUUUGACUGGUUAGUAUCCUGUUUUUUUAGUAACAAAUCUUAUCUUUUUCCUCAUGGGGAACCCUUUCCUCACUCUCAGUUUACAUGAUUGGGUGGGGCUGAUCCCAUUCUUCAACGUCAGCCUGAGCACUGCAUAGCCCCUGUCAAAGUGAUAGGUUCAAGGGCGGGUGUAGAAACCCAAACUAGUCCACUGAGAGUCUUCUUUGAACUUUUUUUUUUUUUUGAGAUGGAAUCUCUGUCACCCAGGCUGGAGUGCAGUAGCACAAUCUUGGCUCACUGCAACCCCUGCCUCCCAGGUUCAAGCGAUUCUUCUGCCUCAGCCUCCCAAGUAGCUGGAAUUACAGGCACCCACCACCACGCCCAGCUAAUUUUUGUAUUUUUAGUAGAGACGGGGUUUUGCCUUGUUGCCCAGGCUGCUCUUGAAUCCCUGACUUCAGGUGAUCUGCCACCUCGGCCUUCCAAAGUGCUGGGAUUACAGGCGUGAGCCACUGCGCCCAGCCUUCUUUGAACUUUUAAUUGAAGCAAUUAGGAAAGGAAAGUUCACCUUCUUUUAGAAUUAAUAAAAUUGUAGGAUUUGGCCCUGGAAACUCUUAACCACUGAGAAGGGACUGCUUGAGAAUGAAGCCACAGAGCAGAGUGGAGCAGAGUGGAGAGAAGGAGAGACAUCGUCCUGAUCAACUUGUUUGGGCAACUGGAUCCAGCCAUGCCAGAAUAAUUCUUCCCCUAGAAGAUUCACAAGCCAAUAAACUCACUCUUUUUGUUUGUUUGUUUACAGUGGUUUGAAUUUGGUUUCUGUCAUUUUCAGAGAGAUCUGAGUAAAUCAGAUCCACUUAGAUUUGUAUAUUAGGUAGAGCACCCUGGUAACUGUUUAGAGGAUGGAGUUGGGAGGGAUAAAGCUAGAAGCAUGAAUACCAAUUAGAAGGCAACCUAGGAAAAAAAAAGCAUACAAGGAGGGGCAGGUUUAAAGGGAAGAUGAGGGGUUGAGUUUUAGGGGUGUUGAGUUUGAGGUGCCCAUAGGACAAAAUGUAAAUAAUGAUUGCAAACACUUAUAUCACUCUUACCAUGUCUGAGCAUUGUUCCAAAUGCAAUACAUAUAGAACUCAUUUAAUCCUCACCAUCACACUGUGCUCAUUUUAUAGAUUAAAACACAGGGAGUUUUAAUCCAUUCACUGAUCCCAACUUGCUCCUUGGCUGUAAAUUCCCACAUUUCCUUGUUGUAUUCUGAAUUAAGCCCAAUCUCUCUCCCCUACAAUAAAACCCCGUUGUUGUACAGGGGGUGCAGGGGGGGUGUGAUGGUUAAUUUUAUGUGUCAAGACUGGGCGCAGUGGCUCACACCUGUAAUCCCAGCACUUUGGGAGGCCGAGGUGGGCGGAUCACUUGAGGUCUGGAGUUCGAGACCAGCCUGGCCAACAUGGCAAAACCUCGUCUCUACUAAAAAUACAAAAAUUGUCCAGGUGUGGUGGCACGUGCCUGUAAUUCCAGCUACUACUCGGGAGGCUGAGGCAGGAGAAUUGCUUGAAACUGGGAGGCAGAGGUUGCAGUGAGCCUAGGUCACAUCACUGCAUUCCAGCCUAGGUGACAGAGUGAGGCUCUGUCUCAAAAAAAUAAAUAGAUAAAUAAAAUUAUGUGUCAGUUUAACUUGGCUAAGGGAUGCCCAGAUAGCUGGUAAAACAUUAUUUCUGGGUGUGCCUGGGAGCGUGUUUCUGGAAGAGAUUAGCGUUUUAAUCAGUAGACUGUGUCAAGAAGACCCACUGUCGUUAAUCUAAUCUGUUGAAGGUCUGAAUACAGCAACAAGGUAGAGAAUUCUCUCUCUUUUCUUGAGCUGGGACAUCCAUCUUCUCUUGUCCUCAGACGUUGGAGCUCCUGGUUCUGGGAUUUUCAGACUCCAGGACUUAGACCAGUGGCCUCUCUGGUUCUCAUGCCUUCCGCCUCAGACUGAAUUACACCACUGGCUUUCCUGGGUCUCCAGCAUACCAAUGGCAUAACAUGGGACUUCUUGGCCUCCAUAAUAAUGUGAACCAAUUCCCAUAAUAAAUCUCCCCUUAUAUAUCUCGAUAUAUUCUGUUGGUUCUGUUUCUCUGGAGGACCCUGACUAAUAUAGGGGGUUAACUAGUUCUUCCAGCUCUCAAGGACACAGCUGGGGCUUGCACUAGGCAGUUUGCCUUUAGAGGCUGAGACUUGAGGAAUUCAUUUGGGAAUUGUGGGAACCCUUUUGGACCUCCAGGGUUGCUGUAAAGUUUAUUUUAAGGUGAAAAUAUUUGACCUGCAAAAGGUGUAGAAAUAACUCUUAUCUGAACUUCCCUUAUCUGACAAAAGCAGAGCCUCCCAAAAUUACAGCUCCAUUAACCCCACUCUGGGGGAGUUUACUGCAGAUUUAGCUGCCAAGAAGGCAGAUUGCCCAUUUAUUAGCAACAAAAAGCCCACUAGGACCUUCCACACUCCCUCAUUGAAGCCCUAAAAACCUCUCUCUUUUGUUAAGUUGAUAAUACAAACUUUUCCUUUGGGCUAUCCCAUGAGUUUUCUAUUAUGGAAACUCCGAUAUGCAAGUAGGAAAAAAAAUCCUUGUUAACUGGUCCUUUCUCAGUUAAAUUUGUGGGCCUCAAACUGCUGAACCCAACAUGGAAGAGGAAGAAUUUUCCUCCCAACAGAGUCAUCAGAACACAGCGGCAGCUAAAGCCCUUGUUGUAAGGGAAGAAGCUGAGGCACAAAAUAUAAUUUUAAAGCAUUUGAGGCCAGGCGCAGUGGCUCACGCCUGUAAUCCCAGCACUUUGGGAGGCCGAGGUGGGUGGAUCAUGAGGUCAGGAGAUCAAGACCAUCCUGGCCAACAUGGUGAAACCCCAUCUCUAUUAAAAAUACAAAAAUUAUCUGGGUGUGGUGGCGUGUGCCUGUAAUCCCAGCUACUCAGGAGGCUGAGGCACAAGAAUCCCUUGAACACAGGAGGCAGAGGUUGCAGUGAGCUGAGAUCGUGCCACUGCAUUCCAGCCUGGUGACAGAGCAAGACUCCAUCUCAAAAAAAAAAAAUUUGAUGAAGCCAACGUGAGGACAGCUGCCCGGGAAACACUUUCAACUUGGCUUGGGCAGUGUUCCAUUCAGCCCAGGUUACAGUCAGGUUUCAAAAGGCAAAAGGGAACAAGGGGUGGGCGGAUACAAAGUUGUCUGACAGGAAUUCUCAUUGGCUUAGGAAAUAACAUUGAUUAGUGAUUAGCUUUAAAUGUUGAACUACAGGGUAUGAGUUUUGGUGUCUAGCCUACGGCACUGUGUGGUUAAUUUUAUGGCUGCUUGGCAUCAAUCUAGAGCCCACAUAGCAAGUGGUUCCAAGAGGUGGUUACUUGAUUCAAGGCAGGAGUGAGAGGUGACUGCCACCACACUUCAGUGCCCUCUGGGUCUGAUAAUUUGGAGGGGCUGGCAUUCCUCAGGUACAGUAGAUAAGGUGCCUGCAUUCUCUCCCCACACACAUAUACCCUGAGGGGAGGCACUGCUUGGAGCAGAAAAGCAUCUAUCAAGGACAAAACUCUGGAAAAACCAACAUGUAAAGGGCAGGUGGAGUAGAUAAGCUGCAAAGGAGCCAGCGAUGGACUGGGGCUUGGAUUGAUGGGAGACGGUGACCAAUGGCUUCUGCUCACGGAACAUUCACCAAGUGCCAGGCAUUGAGCUCAAAGAUGCUUUAUAAAUGCUAUCUAAUUUGCUCCUCACAAAAGGUCUACCAGGAAGGUAAAAUUCAUACCUUACGGGUGAGACAGCACAUUUAUGAAGGUUGCAUGAAUUGCCCAAGUUAACAUAGCUAGUUAGUGGCAGAAUAGGAAUUUGAGCUCUAAAGACCAGGGUUUUAACCACAGCAGCGCAUUGAAUAGUCUCCUCCCAAACUUCGUGUCCACCUGGGACCUUUGAAUGUGACCUAAUUUGGAAAUAGGGUUUGAAGAUGUAGCCAAGUUAAUAUGUGGUCAUGCUGGAUUAGAGUGAGCCCUAAAUCCAAUGACUGGUGUCUUUUUUUUUUUUUUUUAGAAAGGGUCUCACUCUGUCACACAGGCUGGAGUGCAGUGGUGUGAUCACAGCUCACUGCAGCUCCAAACUCCUAGGCACAAGUCAUCCUCCCACCUCAGCCUUCCAAGUGGCUAAAACUACAGGCAUGUGCCACCAUGCCUGGCUAAUUUUUAAUUAUUUUUUUGGGAGGUGGGGUCUCACUAUGUUGCCCAGGCUGGUCUCAAAUUCCUGGGGUCAAGUGAUCCUCCUGCCUCAGCCUCCUAAAAUGCUGAUAUUAUGGGUGUGAGCCACC